rnacentral:rRNA from 1 species
GAGAAGGUGGAAGCUUGCUUUCACUGGAGACUGGCGAACGGGUGAGUAACGCGUAGAUAACCUGCCUUUAACUGGGGGAUAACACUGCGAAAGUGGUGCUAAUACCGCAUAAUGCAGCGGGGCCGCAUGGCCACAGUUGUUAAAGCCUUCGGGCGGUUAGAGAUGGGUCUGCGUGCUAUUAGUUAGUUGGUGAGGUAACGGCUCACCAAGGCGAUGAUAGCUAGGGGGUCUGAGAGGAUGAUCCCCCACACUGGGACUGAGACACGGCCCAGACCUCUACGGAGGGCAGCAGUGAGGAAUCUUGCGCAAUGGGCGAAAGCCUGACGCAGCCACGCCGCGUGUCGGAAGACGGCCCUAUGGGUUGUAAACGACUUUUAUCAGGGAAGAACGAGGGGGUUUAGAUCUCCUGUGACGGUACCUGAUGAAUAAGCACCGGCUAACUCCGUGCCAGCAGCCGCGGUAAUACGGAGGGUGCAAGCGUUGUCCGGAAUCAUUGGGUGUAAAGGGUGCGUAGGCGGGCGUCUAAGUCUGAGGUGAAAUCUUGCCGCUUAACGGUAAAAUGGCCUUGGAUACUGGGCGUCUUGAGUGUAGAAGAGGCAGGUGGAAUUCGUAGUGUAGCGGUGAAAUGCAUAGAUAUUACGAAGAACAUCAGUGGCGAAGGCGGCCUGCUGGUCUACAACUGACGCUGAGGCACGAAAGCGUGGGGAGCGAACAGGAUUAGAUACCCUGGUAGUCCAC